rnacentral:tRNA from 1 species
GGUUCUAUAGUAAAAGAAAUAACGUUAGGUUGCAAAUCUAAAGAUGUGUAAGUGCACUGGAACUU